UUUAAAGGAUAGAAGUAAUCCACUGGUUUAGGACCACCACCCUUGGUGCAAAUCCAAGUAAAAGUAAUG
rnacentral:tRNA from 1 species